CUUACUGGGCUCCAAUAUUCUAAAGAAGGGAGUAUCUUGGGGAGGUCUUAAGGGAUCAGUAAUUUUUGCUCUUGGCUUCCAUUCACGUAUGUGGCUGUUAUUGGUUAUUGACUGUAGAUUUUUGGGGAAAGAAGCUUGAUCAAUGCAUUUUAUUGACUCUUCUUUCAGAUGGUGUUCUAUUCCCUAAUCCAGAAAGGGUACUUCAAGAAGCCACAGAGUCUUUGGCUCAGGCGGAGUCUUUAUCAGGGGUAAGCAAGAGGUGGUGUUAAAGUUGUUUGAUUUUUUUUUGAAAAGACAAUGUAAUGUCUUCUCAUGUUUCACUGUUUCAGGAGUAUUACGCUCAACUGGAUGAGUUGAUUGAAAAUAAAAAGGUGUUGGACGAGGCAUUGCAGUUGUAUCUGGCUGGACUUGCUGAGUUGGAAGAACUUAAAGAAGCCAAGGGACUUUGAAA